AUUUUGUUUGGGAUGCAGAUUUUAUUUAUUUAACUUUAAUGUUAAUUUUUUUAUUAUUUGCUAUGACCAAUAAGUUGAUCUUUCUGACUCAAACUAUAUCAUAUAAUAAAAAAAAAUUUUUUAUUCAAUAUAUGUAAGGAGAACUGACAAUAGUUGUGCACUUUUUAGGAAUUAAAACCAUAGAAGAUUUCACGUAAACUAAAGUCUUGAACACACCUGUCAUCAGUGCACCAGCACAUCUCACACACUUAAUCUAUCCAGUCACACAAGAGGGCCUCACUUCUGAUAAUUAGAGGUCCUGAGUGGACGUUGAAGGUGACAGGUUAACCGCAGGCACGCUCGGGCCGCGCCGUAUUCCUCCGUCGCCCGUCACGUACACUCACUCUCACACAUUCUCACUCGCUCUCACACACAUGUCGAUAACCGCACUUGUAAUGCGAACCCCGCUGCUAAGGAGAGCGGGGCCUGUAAUUACAGAGCAAUAGUGGGAAAGCCAUAAUCACAAAGACUCAAAUAGAAUUUUGCAUCAACAGAUGAUUUCAGAUUGUUUCAUUCCCUCUCUGUUUAAAGAAAGGUCGCUUUGGAUUUACAUUUGCUGCUGGAAAACCCAUUGUCCCUCACUCAGAUGUUAACAUUUCUGAGUCUUUAGGAAACCGGUGAGUGGUGACAUGUAAUUGUGCUCUGGUGUUAUGCUUUCACUCAGAGGCCUUGUGAAAGAUGCAAGGGGCAGCUUUCAUUCUGAUCACAACCUCUGACAGAAAAAGAGAAAGACGAUAUUAAUCAACUGUGACUCGCACUUUGUGUUCAGCCGUUGUCAGCAGAUGCUGCAGCGUGUUUCUGUUAGAGAACGCGGCAUUUCAACGAUUUUAGCCCAGCUGGCGGAAACAUUAAACGAACAGAAACUCACACAUCUCUGUGGUAUGGAAAUGAAACUAUCUAUCAUCUAUCUAUCAUCUAUCUAUCUAUCUAUCUAUCUAUCUAUCUAUCUAUCUAUCUAUCUAUCUAUCUAUCUAUCUAUCUAUCUAUCUAUCUAUCUAUCUAUCUAUCUAUCUAUCUAUCUAUCUAUCUAUCUAUCUAUCUAUCUAUCUAUCUAUCUAUCUAUCUAUCUAUCUAUCUAUCUAUCUAUCAUCCGUCUGUCUGUUUGUGGACAAAACUUGUGUAUUUUUGUGGCUUUUAUAAAAAAGCGCUGGUUUAAAAACUGUAGUUGCUCAAUUGCAAUUGCCUAAGACACCCAUUCCAUUCCUAGGAAAUGAAAGCGUGCCCUUGUUCCAGAUUUAGUUCUUGCCCGUCACGAUGGGCUGCUAUUUGGUCUGCCAUUUCUCAGGGUUGUGGGCUUCUUUAAUGAGCACUUUGAUCCCACUCAGGUCUGGCACUGAUGUUUACACAACCCUGAAGUCAAAAGAAGAAGAAGACGGAAAAGAGUAUUUUAUUCUCUUGAGAGAGAGAGAGAGAGGGAGCGUUGCUGUGGUGUCCAGCGUCAUGGCAGAAUUAUGACCCCGGGGACCUCGUCUUCAUCCUUAAGCUUAUCUCAAAGGUGUGGAACGCUGAAAAACGAUAUUUAAAAUUAUAUUUCUGAUUAUAAUUGGUCACUCUGAGUUUUUCAUGCAGGCUGAACAUGAAAAUAGUCUCCUGCCCCAUCUCCCAUGGGGUGACAGUGGCACAGGAGUCAAGUGCUCACCCCGUAAUCGGAAGGUUACAGGUUAGAGCCCUGCUCAGCUUGUCGCUGUCAUUGUGUCCUUGAGCAAGACUCCUAACCCCCCUUGGCUGCUGGUGGUGGUCAGAGGGACCAGUGGCUCAGCAGCCUCACCUCUGUCAGUGAGCCCCAGGGCAGCUGUGGCUACAUUGUGAAUGGGUGAAUGACGGAUUGUGUUAUAAAGCACCUUGAGGGGGUCCAGGUCCAGGACUCAAGAAGACACUAUAUCAAAUACAGACCAUUUACCAUUUACCAUCUCCUGCAUUAGCUUCUGAUAGAAAAUAGAUGGUGAAACUCUGGGAUUUGAAAUGCCUGACAGAUCUAUGUCACAUUGUCACUUAACAUUCAUGUAUUCAGGCUGUUGUUGGUUUAGCGUCCAGGAAACAGCAACGAACGUCUCAGCUAGCAGAAGCUAAUCAUUAGCAUUAGCAGCUUUGUGAUAGUUGAUAUUUGUGAAGAUUAAACAUCAUCGUUGCAAGUCAAUGGUAUAGUCGCGUUGCUCUUACCCAACCCAAGGCGACAUGGAUGUAGUCUGGGGGUGGGGGGUGGGAAAUGUCCCCUGUACUUUUUCCAAAAUCAAUUUUUGUCCCCUGCACUUUUUACCAUCCAAUACAAUUUUGCGCUAUAUUAAAUAGACAAUGGUUGAGCACUGAGACCAAGUGGGAAACAACUGCUUGUGUUGAAGCCUGUUUUGCAAGGCGAUAUGUCCAAACAUCAGAAAAUAAGACUCCAAAACCUGCCUUCUGAAGCUCUGCUGUGAUAUAGCUCACAUCUAGUUCCUGGAAAUGGUGCAUCUGUGUUUUCUGCCCCCAGAGUAUGACUUACAAGGCAUUCAGUCCAACUAGAGACCACUGCAAAUGUAUUGAUUAAACGAGUGUUCCACAUGUUUAAAUGAUGGGUUUUUAAGCCAUAGCAGGGUGGGUUUUCUCUGGUGAGUUUACUAAAAGAUAACAAGAUGGAUGAAAACAAGAAGGGGAAAAUUUUAAAAAUCCUGAAAUAUUUCUCCUCAGCGUGUCAGAUUCUUUGGGAUAAUCAGUCCGUGCUGCAGAUGUUUCAUUCAUACACUCCAGAACAUGUGCACUUGGUUAGGGUAUUUCUUUAUCAGCCUCAUAAAUUUCAUAAGAACAUGAGUUUCUUGGCUCUAUGGAGUGGAUAUUUUGUUUUCUGAAGGUCUCUGACGUGGACCAGCUGCAGCUGGAGUUUUUCCUGAGUUGCUGCAUCUGUAUUCUGUCACUUUGGCUUUAUAUCAGAUAUUAGAUACACACUUUUCCUCUGUUUGCCUCUGAAUGUUAUGCUUUAAAAAUGUCUCUGUUUAUCAUCUACCAAAUAUUAAAGCAGAAAGAAAGAGCUGGAAAGGGAAAGAAUUGUUGUACAAAUGUAAAACUCCCAUCAGUUAAAGAAAUGGAGGUAUUUGCCAAAGAUUUUUUUUAGAGCACGAUUUCUAAUGAAAAUGAGUUUUUAAGGUUUUGUGGAAGAACACGGAACUAAUAUGCUACGACAUUACAGAAGGAAUAUAAAUCAUAGUACGGAAUUGUGUUUUUAAUGUCAUCUAUGAGAAACUUUGUGUUCUCUCAUGUUCUGGUCUUUAUGUUGUGAUGUGAUCAACCACAGCAGCUUUUACUACUCACACACAGUGGCGGAGCUUGAUAUGUGCAACAUGUGCGGCCGAACAGGGCGGCAGUCUGGAGGGGGCGCCAUUUAAUUUCUUUUUUUUCUUUUUUUUUUCUUCCAUCAACCGAUACAUCAACAAAACAUAGAAAUCACAUGUUCUUCAUAAUAAUAAUAGUGAUGAGUGAUGAUAAUAAUAAUAUUUCUGUAAUAAAAGCACAACAAAGUCAUUGUUUGCGUUUAUAUUGGGAUUUUAUUGCGCCCCCUUGUGUCCGCCGCACCUCUGUAGUGCGCUCUAUAGCGCCCUUCAUCAGGUGGGGGGCGGAGGGAUCUCGGAGAGUGAUGAUGGAAGGAUACAGGUACCGUUUCACAUAUCACCGCUCACAAACAUAAGGAGAAGAAGCGGUCGAAGCCAUCAGGUGCCCAAUUUCGGAAAAAAAGAAAAGAAGAGGAGGAGAAACGAGGAAAAGAUGCAGGUAUGCAUCUCUUUAUUAUUUAGUUGGUAUUUUUCCCGCCUGUCCCCCAACUUAUUGACUAACUAACCUCUCUAAUCUGAACGUUUUGCAUGGUGCUAUGAUGAUCCCUUCAAAUGUCUUUUGCUAGCUUCUUACAUUGCAUGUAUUUAGAACUACUUCCAACCGCUAGCUUUUUCUUUGUCAAAUGAGCUUUUAUGAAAAGCUAAGAGUGGGAAAACCGAAAGGCUGAUAACAAAACGCUAUCAAAUUAAAACGAGUCUUUGAGAAUUUUGCUGAAAUACAUUGACGGCGGGCGGCAGGUCUCGCGCCGGCGCCAUUCGCCUUUCUAUUUGGACUCGGGAAAUGAGCUACGUAUUAUUUACCCCACGAAAAACGGAGCGGCAGCGGGCCGCUGGAGGUGCCCUGCUAGUAAGAUCCCGUUUAUACUGUAAUCUGACAUAAAAUAAAAACUAUAAUAGCUAGAGCGGUCUUUUUUUAGCUGAAAGUUGAGACUGUCUCGCCUUUCAGCACUGUACAAGUCGAUGAUGUCAUCGUGUUGUGUUGUGUGCUGCACACCGCGGCUAUGUUAACUCACAGUGACCUUGAAGCAGCGUGGGAGAGUUGAAGAAUUUAACCAGUUAAAAUGGAUUCAUGGAUAUUUAAUCAAUAGUUGUGGCUCCUCUGGUCAUUUAGUUCUUUGUGUGCCGGAGACAUUUGCUGAAUAAGGAAAUAAAAACUUAAAAUGACAAAAAAAAAAAAGAGGGAAAAACACUUGUUUUGUAUUUUAUCAAUUAUUAAUGAUUAAUAGAUUGUUGGUGUUUUAACUUUUGGUAAAGGAAAACACAAUUUCCAGGCAGCCCCAGUCUGGAGAAGUGAUGGUGACAUCAGCCGUUAAAAAUAAAUAAUACUCUGUGGUUUUUAUGAAUAAUUUGUACUUUUACUUGAGUAGUUCUCUAACACCAGUACUUUUACUUGUAAAUGAGUAAUAUUUUAGCAAUGUAACAGUACUUGUACUUGAGUACAGAUUUUCAGAAUUCUUUCCACCACUGCUGAAAACUGUAAAUGCUCAUUGUAACAUCUUAAUUAAAAUGCUUUAGCAACAGACGUGACAUGAAGAUUGUAUUGUUUGUUUUAUGCAACAUCAGGAGCCCUACACAGAUAUUUUGGGAUGGCAUCAGCUGCCACUGAGGAACAGCCAGCUACCUCCACUGUUCAUACCAGUAGGCCAGUAUUUGAACUCGAGGAGGGACAGUCUGCUGGCACCACAUCUCCCCAGGAAGAUACUUUAGAGAGACCUACCAGUAUAUGUGAACUUGAUGAGGGACAGCCCGCUGCCACAUCUCCCCAACAAGAUAUGUCAGAGAAGCCUGAACGAUCAACCAGUGAGUCCCAUUGAAGGUGAUGAUGAGCCUCUUUCUUCAGACCCAGCCAAGUGGCCAUCACCAAUUACAGACAGCAUACGCACAGAGCUAGUUCGAAGAGGACCUACUAAGGUGCCAACUACUUUCAUAUUUCCCAGGAAUGAAGGCGAUGGCAGAUGUUGUCAUCAUCACUUUUUCAGUAGAACUUUGACAAGUGGUGAGAAGGUGGCCAGGAGCUGGAUGUUGUAUUCAGUUAGCAAACGUUGUUAUUUAUAAUACACUCCACGCCAUUUGAAACAAAGUUGUAGGUGUAAUUUUUUUUCUUGUGUGUGUGUGUGUUUGUG